UGAAAUCUCGAGGCUCAACCUCGAAACUGCGUCUGAAACUGCUAGUCUAGAAUGUCGGAGGGGAUAGGGGAAUUUCACGUGUGGGGGUAAAAUCCGUAGAGAUGUGAAGGAACACCGGGGGCGAAGGCGCCUUCCUGGACGACUACUGACGCUGAGGCGCGAAAGCGUGGGGAGCAAACAGGAUUAGAUACCCUGGUAGUCCACGCCGUAAACGAUGAACACUAGUUAUUGGGGGUAUUGACUCCCUCAGUGACGCAGCUAACGCAUUAAG
rnacentral:rRNA from 1 species